GACGAACGCUGGCGGCGUGCUUAACACAUGCAAGUCGAGCGGUAAGGCCCCUUCGGGGGUACACGAGCGGCGAACGGGUGAGUAACACGUGAGCAAUCUGCCCAUCACAUCGGGAUAACUCCGGGAAACCGAAGCUAAUACCGAAUACGACCACCUCCGGCAUCGGAUGGUGGUGGAAAGUUCCGGCGGUGAUGGAUGAGCUCGCGGCGUAUCAGCUUGUUGGUGGGGUAACGGCCUACCAAGGCUUCGACGGGUAGCCGGCCUGAGAGGAUGGCCAGCCACAUUGGGACUGAGAAACGGCCCAGACUCCUACGGGAGGCAGCAGUGGGGAAUCUUGCGCAAUGGCCGAAAGGCUGACGCAGCGACGCCGCGUGGGGGAUGAAGGCCUUCGGGUUGUAAACCCCUGUUGCCCGGGACGAACACACCGUUUCGACGGUGCUGACGGUACCGGGUGAGGAAGCACCGGCUAACUCUGUGCCAGCCGCCGCGGUAA
rnacentral:rRNA from 1 species